GCCCGCUCAGAAACUUCAAUGUAAUGACGGGGGCCCGCACAAGCGGAGGAGCAUGUGGUUUAAUUCGAUGAUACGCGAGGAACCUUACCUGGGCUUAAAUGCUUAAUGACGUACUGGGAAACUGGUAUUUCUUCGGACAUUUUGCAAGGUGCUGCAUGGUUGUCGUCAGCUCGUGCCGUGAGGUGUCGGGUUAAGUCCCAUAACGAGCGCAACCCCUAUUGUUAGUUGCCAUCAGGUCAUGCUGGGGACUCUAACAAAACUGCCCGCGUAAGCGUGGAGGAAGGUGGGGAUGACGUCAAAUCAGCACGGCCCUUACGUCCAGGGCUACACACGUGCUACAAUGGCCGGUACAGAGGGCAGCCACUUGGUGACAAGGAGCAAAUCUCAAAAGCCGGUCUCAGUUCGGAUCGGAGUCUGCAACUCGACUCCGUGAAGUUGGAUUCGCUAGUAAUCGUGAAUCAGAAUGUCACGGUGAAUACGUUCCCGGGCCUU
rnacentral:rRNA from 1 species